AGAAUGAACGCUGGCGGCGCGCUUAACACAUGCAAGUCGAACGGGGUCCUUCGGGGCCCAGUGGCGAACGGGUGCGUAACACGUGAGCAACCUGCCUGGAGUUGGGGGAUAACCUCGGGAAACCGGGGCUAAUACCGCAUACGCUCUUUUGCCUGUAUGGGUGGGAGAGGAAAGGAGCUUUAGGCUUCGACUCCAGAGGGGCUCGCGGCGUAUCAGCUAGUUGGUGAGGUAACGGCUCACCAAGGCGAUGACGCGUAGGGGGUCUGAGAGGAUGGCCCCCCACAUUGGGACUGAGAUACGGCCCAGACUCCUACGGGAGGCAGCAGUGGGGAAUCGUUGCGCAAUGGCCGAAAGGCUGACGCAGCGACGCCGCGUGCGGGAUGAACGCCCUUCGGGGU
rnacentral:rRNA from 1 species